UAUGUACUUCGGUUUGGGUUCAUCAAAAGGGGCAAUCUUUGAGCAUUUGUAUCAACUGCCGGGGAUCUCAAGUUCACAUGGAGUGCACUAUGAUCAAGUGCAUUCUGGUGCUAUGAUGAUUGUGACAGAAGAUAUUAGCUGCAGAAGCAAUCGCUAUGUCUCAACUCCAAUAUUAAAAAUCAGUGCACCUAAAUUACGACACAAUUUUUCUCAUCUGGAACUGCGCUUAUAAGGUGUUUGGUCUGAAAGCUACACUCCUACAAUGUGGUAUAAAAGGUUCAUGAAAUCAUCAGGAUUUUGACCUCCAUAGGAAAUCUGCAAGGGGAACAACAACAAAGGAAACUGGUGUAAGAUUGAGUACUAAGACUUGAAGAUGGGCUACCAUCAAGAUUAUGUCUUGACAAUCAAGUAUAAUGAAUUUUUUUACCGAACUCACAGAAGUAGAUUGUGUAUCCCAUCUAGCGUUCAACCUAAUGGACAUCGAGGGAACCACUUUGAGUAGGCAAUUGUUUGUGUGGAGGAAAAUGCAUGGUACUA